rnacentral:rRNA from 1 species
CGGGUGGCAGCAGUGGGGAAUAUUGGACAAUGGGCGAAAGCCUGAUCCAGCAAUACCGCGUGUGUGAAGAAGGCCUUAGGGUUGUAAAGCACUUUCAAUUGGAAGGAAAAAAUAAGGCUUAAUACGUCUUAUCUUGACAUUACCUUUAGAAGAAGCACCGGCUAACUCCGUGCCAGCAGCCGCGGUAAUACGGAGGGUGCAAGCGUUAAUCGGAAUUACUGGGCGUAAAGCGUGCGUAGGCGGCUCGUUAAGUCAGAUGUGAAAGCCCUGGGCUCAACCUGGGAACUGCAUUUGAAACUGGCGAGCUAGAGUUUGAGAGAGGUAAGUGGAAUUUCAGGUGUAGCGGUGAAAUGCGUAGAGAUCUGAAGGAACACCAGUGGCGAAGGCGACUUACUGGCUUAAAACUGACGCUGAGGUACGAAAGCGUGGGUAGCAAACAGGAUUAGAUACCCCAGU